UUGAGCAAAACACAAAGUGCUGGAGGAACUCAGCGGGUCAGGCAGCAUCUGUGGAGUGAAUGGACAAACAACAUUUUGCAUCGGGUCACUUCAGUCUGAAGAAUGGUCCCGAACCGAAACAUCAUCAGUCCAUUCCCUCCACAGAUGCUGCCUGACCCGCAGAGAUCCUCAAGCACUUUGUGUUUUCCUAAUUUUAAUGACUAAUGCCAAUUAUAGCAGUUCAGCCUCAGUCAAAGUUAUGUGCCUUUAUGACACGUGCUGUUAUCAUGUGUGCUGAGGUUGUGAUUUUUGACAUUGCCUAUGGAACAGGGGCAAGUGUGAUUGGUAUAUGCCAUCACUGUGAUACUUAAUUCUGCCUGUCUCACUCAUUCACAUUGAAUUAUUUUUUUAAAAUCUAAAACUACCAAGCGUUAGAGACAAGGAGCAGGUGUAAAUGCCACAUAAACACUAAAGAAAUUAGUUUCUGGGAACAAAUGACUUCUUAUGUUCACAUAAACCUGCCUUUACCUCUCAGGGUAAUUCUGAUUAUAUUGCUGGUAUCAAAACACAUUGAUGUGUUUUUAUUUUUCCUCUUCAGGGUCAGUAUGCCAGAUUCAAGUGUUUACAGACUAAGUUAAAUUUUCAGAUUGCACAUUUUUGAAGAAAAUAUAUACAUAAAAUGACAGUCCUUUUUUACUUAAGCUAGUAGCAUCAGAGUUUGCUUUAAAUGAAAUUCUAGUUUCAUUCAAUAAUUAGUAGUUUUGUAGCAUAACCUUUGGUUCUAAACUUGAAGUAUUUUAAAUUUUAUGCUUUGCGUAGUUCUAACAGAUCUUUACAGUCUUUGUUUAUGCAGCAGAAUAACAAUUAAAUAGGUUUAGUUAGUAUCAACCUGGGUAUCCAUCCCACUUGAUGUUCUGAAAGGAGACCUGUUUAAAGAAAUAUAAAGGUUGAUCAGGUAUUCUUCAAUGCUGGAGGACAAUGUGAGGUUUGUUUAUGUAAUUUCAUUUUGCUGAAAGUUUUCAGCCUUUGUGUAAACCCUUGGGCAAAACUGGAUGGGUUUCCCCUUCAGAAGAGGGAAAGCUGACAUAUUUAGGCAAGUUUUAUUCAUCUCUUUAAAACUUGCUGUGUUUGCAAGCGGGAUAUCAUUUAUCUUUGCCCAUAAUAGUUGCAUUGAUGCUUUGAGUAGAAAGCACUCUUGAUAGGGGUUAAAAUAAUUCUCCUGUAGGAAUGAUGCACACAGGUAGACAUAAUUUCAUUUACUGAUGAGGUAGCAUACAAAUAGUGUUUUACUAUUCUGUUUUUUUUUAGCUAGGUGCAAAUUAUUGGGUCUGCAAAGACGAAAGUAAAGAAAUAGAAAAUAACCACAGUCUGCUAUUAGAGUGUGAAUUUUAUAAUCUGUUAGUCUAAAUUGUUUGGAUUUUCUACAAUAUUAUCUUUACAAUAAUAUUUUCUUUUCCUUAAAUUACUGAGUUCCUUGAGACCUGCCAAUUUAUCAGGAUAAUGACUGAUGACAUUUGCAGAGCUCAACCUAAAAUCUCUGUAAUGUUUUAAUUAUGCAUUUUAAGAGUAUUCUGUAUCUGUAAAAUGUUCAUGUAAAUGCUCCAUGUGGUACUAUUUUGGUACAUGGGGUUUGCAACAUUAAAAUAUAUUUUAUGAAUGUG